rnacentral:lncRNA from 1 species
UCGUCAUCAGCUUAUCUGGCGCCCCAUGUGUUUUAGCUCUGGCUGGCGUCGCAGCGCCUGGGCGGCUGUGGGCCUUCCUGCACAGCGCGUCUUGCAGCGGGCUGGAGCCCGCGUAGUCAGCGCCACAUCUGGCCCGUUUAGUUUUCUGCUAGUGUCUCCUCUGCCGGUUCUCCUGGGGUGUUGCUUAAGCAACCGACUUGUGGG